AGGGCACCACCAGGAGUGGAGCCUGCGGCUUAAUUUGACUCAACACGGGAAAACUCACCCGGCCCGGACACCGUAAGGAUUGACAGACUGAGAGCUCUUUCUUAAUUCGGUGGGUGGUGGUGCAUGGCCGUUCUUAGUUGGUGGAGCGAUUUGUCUGGUUAAUUCCGAUAACGAACGAGACUCUGGCCUAUUAAAUAGUCGGUAUAUUAUUAGUUUACCGUACUUCUUAGAGGGACAAACGGCGUCCAGCCGCGUGAAAUAGAGCAAUAACAGGUCUGUGAUGCCCUUAGAUGUCCGGGGCUGCACGCGCGCUACACUGAAAGAAUCAGUAUGCGCUUUAACCUAGUCCGGAAGGAUUGGGUAACCCGAGCAAAUUCUUUCGUGCUUGGGAUAGGGAAUUGCAAUUAUUUCCCUUAAACGAGGAAUUCCCAGUAAAUGCGGGUCAUAAGCUCGCGUUGAUUACGUCCCUGCCCUUUGCACACACCGCCCGUCGCUACUACCGAUUGGAUGACUUAGUGA
rnacentral:rRNA from 1 species